ACUCAAAGGAAUUGACGGGGGCCUGCACAAGCGGUGGAGUAUGUGGCUUAAUUCGAUGCAACGCGAAGAACCUUACCUGGCCUUGACAUGCACGUAGUAGGAGCGUGAAAGCGUAACGAACCCGCAAGGGUAGCGUGCACAGGUGCUGCAUGGCUGUCGUCAGCUCGUGUCGUGAGAUGUUGGGUUAAGUCCCGCAACGAGCGCAACCCUUGUGUCCUGUUGCCACCCGGUCGAGAGACUGGAGCACUCUGGACAGACUGCCUCGCUUAAACGAGGAGGAAGGUGGGGAUGACGUCAAGUCAGGAUGGCCCUUACGGCCAGGGCUGCACACGUACUACAAUGCCCGGCACAAAGGGAAGCAAGACCGUUAGGUGGAGCAAAUCCCAAAAAACCGGGCUCAGUUCAGAUUGUCGGCUGCAACUCGCCGACAUGAAGCUGGAAUCGCUAGUAAUGGCGCAUCAGCUACGGCGCCGUGAAUACGUUCCCAGGCCUUGCACACACCGCCCGU
rnacentral:rRNA from 1 species